UGCGUCGUAGCUCAAUGGUAGAGCAGGAACGCGGACCUCAGCACCUUGACCGCCAUCGGCGGGCCGAUUGAAGUCCGUUAGCGCUGUUAACGCCCUGGUUGCCGGUUCGAGUCCGGCCGACGCAC
rnacentral:tRNA from 1 species